UACGGGGGGGGGUAAGCGUUGUUCGGAAUUACUGGGCGUAAAGGGCUCGUAGGCGGCCAACUAAGUCAGACGUGAAAUCCCUCAGCUUAACUGGGGAACUGCGUCUGAUACUGGAUGGCUUGGAUUCGGGAGAGGAAUGCGGAAUUCCAGGUGUAGCGGUGAAAUGCGUAGAUAUCUGGAGGAACACCGGUGGCGAAGGCGGCUUCCUGGACCGACACUGACGCUGAGGCGCGAAAGCUAGGGGAGCAAACGGG
rnacentral:rRNA from 1 species